CCUGUAUUGUUUAUGUCCUGUGUGAGGAAGUCUAAUGGAUCACUAAUGAUUGUCUGUAGCACCGAGAGAUUUUACCCCGCUGCUCUUCAACAGCUGUGGAUGAAAGAUGGAGAAAUCAUCAUUAACUCAAACAACAAUGAGAGUUACAGCACAAAUACAGAUGGAUCUUUUACACACAAAUCUUACCUGGAGUUGCCAUCACAAAUGUUUAAUGAAACAAUCUUCAUCUGCUGGAUAAACCACUCAUCCCUAAAUGAACCGAUCAUGGCAAAAUUAUCCAGCACUGCCUGUUAUAAAACAAGCGAUAUGACUUUGAUUGUGGUGUUUGUCGUUUUUGCUGUGCUGAUUGUCUUUGUGAUUAUUGCAGUAACUGCGGUUACAUGUAAAUGUUACAAAAGAGCACAACCGCAAUCUGCUGUAGAAGUUGAUGUCACAGCUGACCCUGUUUACCAAGCUAGCCUGCAGUCUUUUGAAUUGUAUUCAUCAUUGGGUGAUCACCAUCCAAUCCCAUGUAGCCGUAGCCCUAGUGAAGUCUGGUCAUCUUUAAAUACGGACUAAAUACAUUUUACAAUGACAGGUCACUUGAAACUUUUAUAUUACCUUUACUACUGUCUUUUACCACCAUAGAAACCAUACAUUGUGGGUGUGUUUGACUUCAUGCAGCGCUGCACAGACCACUUAGCGUAUGACAAUAAAAUAUUGCUUUCUUCACUUCAGCUGCCCAAUCAAAAGAUAAAGAUGAUUCUCUUAAAAGAGGUCUCAGUAACAAUCACUAAGAGAUGUUUGCAAUUCAUCUGAAUUUCUAUAGGCUUAGAUGCAAUGUAAAAUAUUAUCAUGCCACAACAUACAGACACAAUGCUUGCAGAGCAUUGCAACACUGUAACUCUGUCAUGCUUGUCUCAUCUGAUCACUUCACUUACCAAAACCUCACCCCAUUUUGUUUAAAGAUUAAGAACCUUACAAGACAAUGCCACUUUUUUCACUUUUUUAUCACCUACCACAAUGUAAAGGAAAUGAAACCAAUAGGAGAGCAGUGUGUUAUAAUUGGUCCACAAUAUUAUUUUACAGUAAAUAUAAGUAUACAUUGUUUUUAUAAUAAAAUAUUUCAUAAUUCUCUAUGAGCACAUUCAUGUUUUCACAUAUUGCCAUUGUAAUAAAAUCAGCCAACUGCAGUGACAUUUACUUUAGGUCUUUCCUUUUCAGAUCUAGACCUUUACUUCCUCUCACACUUUGUUGUUAAAAUAACUAAACCUUUAUUGCUUCAGUUUAGCUGCCCAACCACGAAGUGACGCUGUGAUGUUUUUGCUGCAAGACAAACUAUAAAUAGAGUCAAUGGUAUCAGUGUUUGAAAAUGGUUCCUAGCUAUCACUGAGGUGGAACUCUUUCAAAAAGUUUUUACCUAAAAAGUUUACAUUAGUACCUCAAAGGUACAUUAUGGUAUCAAAUGUAUAUAUAUCAGUACCUACAUGAUACAUAUUAGGACCUUUUUAAAGGCUACUGCCCCAGUGACAGUUAAAGGGACCAUUUUUGGCCAUUUAAACUGACAGUGUAUGCAGUAUGCAUAAAUAUGAGGAAUGCAAUAAUGAAUGAAGUUAACUGUAUUUUAAUGCAUGCAUUGUUUGACUCACAAUGAAUAAAUCUGUUUUUUAU